CAGUCGCCGCGGUAAUACGUAGGUGGCAAGCGUUGUCCGGAAUUAUUGGGCGUAAAGCGCGCGCAGGCGGAUAGGUCAGUUUGUCUUAAAAGUUCGGGGCUUAACCCCGUGAUGGGAUGGAAACCGCCAAUCUAGAGUAUCGGAGAGGAAAGCGGAAUUCCUAGUGUAGCGGUGAAAUGCGUAGAUAUUAGGAAGAACACCAGUGGCGAAGGCGACUUUCUGGACGAAAACUGACGCUGAGGCGCGAAAGCCAGAGGAGCGAACGGGAUUAGAUACCCCUGUAGUCCCUGUCUCUUAUACC
rnacentral:rRNA from 1 species